GCCGUGUGAUCCGUGGACAGAGGAAGGGCGCCGGGUCUGUGUUCCGCGCGCACGUGAAGCACCGUAAAGGCGCCGCGCGCCUGCGCGCCGUGGAUUUCGCUGAGCGGCACGGCUACAUCAAGGGCAUCGUCAAGGUGCGGAACGCUGGCCGGGGCGGGAGGGAAAGGGACGCCCGGCCGGAACGCCGCACUCACGCCGCCUCUGCCCACAGGACAUCAUCCACGACCCGGGCCGCGGCGCGCCCCUCGCCAAGGUGGUCUUCCGGGAUCCGUACCGGUUAUCUCCUCAGCCAACAGAGCUGUGGUUGGUGUGGUGGCUGGAGGCGGCCGAAUUGACAAACCCAUCUUGAAGGCUGGCCGGGCGUACCACAAAUAUAAGGCAAAGAGGAACUGCUGGCCACGAGUACGGGGUGUGGCCAUGAAUCCUGUGGAGCAUCCUUUUGGAGGUGGCAACCACCAGCACAUCGGCAAGCCCUCCACCAUCCGCAGAGAUGCCCCUGCUGGCCGCAAAGUGGGUCUCAUUGCUGCCCGCCGGACUGGACGUCUCCGGGGAACCAAGACUGUGCAGGAGAAAGAGAACUAGUGCUGAGGGCCUCAAUAAAGUUUGUGUUUAUGCCA
rnacentral:sRNA from 1 species